GCUUCCAAUAUUUUACUGGACAUUCUUCUCGUACUGAAAUAGGACUUAAGUAUUCUCUUUUAAUAUAGAAGAAGCAGAAAACGAUGAAGAAAUUUAAACGAUGGUAAAUGAAAUUUAUCUUCUGUCCAAACAUAAGCAAAAAUGUUCUUUUGACGAGCCUGCUGCUAUUGUGAAAUUGUAAAGACAGAACUGCCUUGAUUAAUAUGUGCUUUGAUCGGUAAUCUUCUUUUAUUUUGACAGUCAAACGAAAGUAGGUAUAUAAACAUUUCCGGAUUCAUCUUUUAAAUAACUGAAAAAUGCUUUAACACGUUUUUUGAGUACACAGUGAUGGAUGAUUAAAUAUUUUUUAAAUACUCUCAUUAUCAGCCACCUUUAUCUCCGUAUAUUGUGAGCAAACUGAGCAAUCAUCUGUCCAAUCCGUAGCCGUAUACCUCUGAACGCUCUACAUCGGCUAGGAUUCAGCUGCUAGACAAUGACUGUCUAUCGUACCAGCUCCUUCCACUUAGGAAUGAAAUCGUCGACAAUUUGAGGAGCUGGAACUGGGGAGGUAAAACAAUACUCUAUGUGGGGCCAUAUUAUAAAUUUAUAGUUAGUGAAGUUUCGCACUGCUGAGUUGGUAAACCAAGCUUCUUAAGGCUAAUUUAGCGUGCGAAAAUAUUGAUCAAUUAUAACCUUAGAGUAUUAAGCCAGAAAGGAGUCGCCUUUACGCGCGUCCCCCUCUGUCAAAGUACGAACCCGCUGGACAUACCCGUUAUAUAAAACUGUUUCUCGACCCUUCCGCGCCAUUCCGGUACGACGCUUGUUAGUGUAAAGAGCUCCGACAAAAAUGACUGGAUGCAGUGUAUUCGGCUGUAAAAAAAGGUCUGACACAUCGAGUGUACAAAAAGACAACGUGACAUUUCAUCUAUUUCCAAAAGACCCUAUCCGUCGACAACAAUGGAUAAAAGCUUGUGAAAAUCACAGAACAUGGCUACCCAAACGUACAAGUAAAGUUUGCUCCGAUCAUUUUGAUACGUCAUGUUUCUUGUUGCUGGCUAACAACAAAAGAAAAUUAAAGGAAUCAGCAACACCUACUUUUAAAUUACCAAAUGCUGACUUCGAAAAACCAACCGAUUGCCAACCAGCGAAAAAAAUGAGAUUUGAGACUGAAACCUCGGCUAGUUCACCACCCCACUCAUCAACUUUUCGCUCUGAGUUAUCAACAAAUCAUGUUUCACCUACUACAAGUACUAAUGUUUCUUGUUAUAAAUUGGACCAAGAAACACCACGAAAACGUAAAUUAAGAAGAAUAUUAGUUCAAAAAAACAAACAAAUUAAAAGACUUCAGUCGAAAACACGAUAUUUAAAAAAGAAAGUUGCUAGUUUAAAAGAAAUACUUGAUGAGUUAACCAAAAAAUCUUUAAUAGAUAAAGAAAAUAAAAGAAUUUUGGAAGCCAUAGGCGUG